GAGUUUGAUCAUGGCUCAGAGUGAACGCUGGCGGCAGGCCUAACACAUGCAAGUCGAGCGGCAGCGCGGGGGCAACCCUGGCGGCGAGCGGCGGACGGGUGAGGAAUGCAUCGGAAUCUACCUCGUUGUGGGGGAUAACCUCGGGAAACCGGGACUAAUACCGCAUACGACCUACGGGUGAAAGUGGGGGACCGCAAGGCCUCACGCGAUGAGAUGAGCCGAUGCCGGAUUAGCUAGUUGGCGGGGUAAAGGCCCACCAAGGCGACGAUCCGUAGCUGGUCUGAGAGGAUGAUCAGCCACACUGGAACUGAGACACGGUCCAGACUCCUACGGGAGGCAGCA
rnacentral:rRNA from 1 species